GGUACGGGCAGACUAGAGUGCGGUAGGGGAGAUUGGAAUUCCUGGUGUAGCGGUGGAAUGCGCAGAUAUCAGGAGGAACACCGAUGGCGAAGGCAGAUCUCUGGGCCGUAACUGACGCUGAGGAGCGAAAGCAUGGGGAGCAAACAGGCUUAGAUACCCUGGUAGUCCAUGCCGUAAACGUUGGGAACUAGAUGUGGGGACCAUUCCACGGUCUCCGUGUCGUAGCUAACGCAUUAAGUUCCCCGCCUGGGGAGUACGGCCGCAAGGCUAAAACUCAAAGGAAUUGACGGGGGCCCGCACAAGCGGCGGAGCAUGCGGAUUAAUUCGAUGCAACGCGAAGAACCUUACCAAGGCUUGACAUAUACGAGAACGCGCUGGAGACAGCGAACUCUUUGGACACUCGUAUACAGGUGGUGCAUGGUUGUCGUCAGCUCGUGUCGUGAGAUGUUGGGUUAAGUCCCGCAACGAGCGCAACCCUCGUCCUAUGUUGCCAGCACGUAAUGGUGGGAACUCAUGGGAUACUGCCGGGGUCAACUCGGAGGAAGGUGGGGAUGAGGUCAAAUCAUCAUGCCCCUUAUGUCUUGGGCUUCACGCAUGCUACAAUGGCCGGUACAAUGGGCUGCAAUACCGUAAGGUGGAGCGAAUCCCAAAAAGCCGGUCUCAGUUCGGAUUGAGGUCUGCAACUCGACCUCAUGAAGUCGGAGUCGCUAGUAAUCGUAGAUCAGCAACGCUACGGUGAAUACGUUCCCNGGCCUUGUACACACCGCCCGUCAAGUCAUGAAAGUCGGUAACACCCGAAG
rnacentral:rRNA from 1 species